rnacentral:rRNA from 1 species
UGGGGGAUAUUACACAAUGGGCGAAAGCCUGAUGCAGCGACGCCGCGUGGGGGAUGAAGGCUUUCGGGUUGUAAACCUCUUUCGCUAUCGAACAAGGCCCGCUUAGGGUGGGUUGAGGGUAGGUGGAGAAGAAGCGCCGGCUAACUACGUGCCAGCAGCCGCGGUAAUACGUAGGGCGCGAGCGUUGUCCGGAAUUAUUGGGCGUAAAGGGCUUGUAGGCGGCUUGUUGCGCCUGCUGUGAAAACGCGGGGCUUAACUUCGCGCGUGCAGUGGGUACGGGCAGGCUUGAGUGUGGUAGGGGUGACUGGAAUUCCAGGUGUAGCGGUGGAAUGCGCAGAUAUCUGGAGGAACACCGAUGGCGAAGGCAGGUCACUGGGCCAUUACUGACGCUGAGGAGCGAAAGCAUGGGUAGCGAACAGG